UUGCACUCCCUUUGGCAGCAUAUAUACUGAAACUGGAAUGAUACAGAAAAAAUUAGCAUGCCCCCUGCACAAGAAUGGCGUGCAAAUUCCUGAAGUAUUCCAAAUUUAU